rnacentral:rRNA from 1 species
CCUACGGGAGGCAGCAGUGGGGAAUAUUGCACAAUGGGGGAAACCCUGAUGCAGCGACGCCGCGUGAGUGAAGAAGGAUCUCGGUAUGUUAAGCUCUAUCAGCAGGGAAGAAAAUGACGGUACCUGAUUAAGAAGCCCCGGCUAACUACGUGACAGCAGCCGCGGUAAUACGUAGGGGGCAAGCGUUAUCCGGAUUUACUGGGUGUAAAGGGAGCGUAGACGGGAGGACAAGUCAGGAGUGAAAUGCCGGGGCUUAACCCCGGAACUGCAUGGGAAACUGUGCAGCUAGAGUGCAGGAGAGGUAGGUGGAAUUCCUGGUGUAGCGGUGAAAUGCGUAGAUAUUAGGAAGAACACCGGUGGCGAAGGCAGCUUACUGGACUGUAACUGACGUUGAGGCUCGAAAGCGUGGGGAGCAAACAGGAUUAGAUACCCGUGUAGUC